GAUGAACGCUGGCGGCGUGCCUAAUACAUGCAAGUCGAGCGAACGGACGAGAAGCUUGCUCCCCUGAUGUUAGCGGCGGACGGGUGAGUAACACGUGGAUAACCUACCUAUAAGACUGGGAUAACUUCGGGAAACCGGAGCUAAUACCGGAUAAUAUUUUGAACCGCAUGGUUCAAAAGUGAAAGACGGUCUUGCUGUCACUUAUAGAUGGUUCCGCGCUGCAUUAGCUAGUUGGUAAGGUAACGGCUUACCAAGGCAACGAUGCAUAGCCGACCUGAGAGGGUGAUCGGCCACACUGGAACUGAGACACGGUCCAGACUCCUACGGGAGGCAGCAGUAGGGAAUCUUCCGCAAUGGGCGAAAGCCUGACGGAGCAACGCCGCGUGAGUGAUGAAGGUCUUCGGAUCGUAAAACUCUGUUAUUAGGGAAGAACAUAUGUGUAAGUAUCUGUGCACAUCUUGACGGUACCUAAUCAGAAAGCCACGGCUAACUACGUG
rnacentral:rRNA from 1 species